UGAGUGGCGGACGGGUGAGUAACGCGUGGGUAACCUGCCCUGUACAGGGGGAUAACAGUUAGAAAUGACUGCUAAUACCGCAUAAGCACACGAAGGGGCAUCUCUUUGUGUGAAAAACUCCGGUGGUACAGGAUGGGCCCGCGUCUGAUUAGCCAGUUGGCAGGGUAACGGCCUACCAAAGCGACGAUCAGUAGCCGGUCUGAGAGGAUGAACGGCCACAUUGGAACUGAGACACGGUCCAAACUCCUACGGGAGGCAGCAGUGGGGAAUAUUGCACAAUGGGGGAAACCCUGAUGCAGCAACGCCGCGUGAGUGAGGAAGUAUUUCGGUAUGUAAAGCUCUAUCAGCAGGGAAGAUAAUGACGGUACCUGACGAAGAAGCUCCGGCUAAAUACGUGCCAGCAGCCGCGGUAAUACGUAUGGAGCAAGCGUUAUCCGGAUUUACUGGGUGUAAAGGGUGCGUAGGUGGUCUGGCAAGUCUGAUGUGAAAUGCCGGGGCUCAACCCCGGAGCUGCAUUGGAAACUGCUGGACUGGAGUGCAGGAGAGGCAGGCGGAAUUCCUAGUGUAGCGGUGAAAUGCGUAGAUAUUAGGAAGAACACCAGUGGCGAAGGCGGCCUGCUGGACUGA
rnacentral:rRNA from 1 species